rfam:Mycobacterium sp. MOTT36Y, complete genome.
GGCAGGUUGCCCGAGCGGCCAAUGGGAGCGGACUGUAAAUCCGUCGCGAAAGCUUCACAGGUUCGAAUCCUGUACCUGCCA